AUGAAAAAGGUGAAAAAUAUGAGAAAAGAGGAAAAGGGAAAGGAGAAGGAGCAAAGGGGAGAAAGACAAAGUGAAAAGAGGAGAAAGGGAAGGGAAAGGGGAAAAGGCCAAGGAGAAAUGGAAGAAGAAAAAAAAAGCAAAGGGACAAGGAGGCUGUGCCCACCUUCCCCCUCGACAGUGCCCAGGGUGCCCACGGGGAGCAGGUGCAGCCUCUGGCAGGGCAUUCCCAUGGCUCCCACGGGCACCCCUGUCCUCUUGGGGGUCACCCUGUUACCUUGUCCCCCUGGUAGGGGGGUGGCAGCUGCCAGUAGUAGGAGUCAGGGGGCAGCUCCCCAAAGCGCUCGUAGGUCAGGUGGGGCUGGGGGUGUCCCAACUGCACCCCAAAGCCGUUGCCCACGCGGGUGCUGCGCUGGCGGUUCACCAGGGCGAACCCCUGGGCAUCCCCCAGGGCAAAGGACGUCCGGAUCUGUGGGAUCAAGGAGUGAGAGGGGUCUGGGACACGUGGGGACACCCUGGGGACAUCUGGGGACAAGAGGGGACACUCACGGUGCCACGGGCGUAGGCAGUGCUGGUGCAGUGCUGAACGAUGCCCAUGCAGAAGCAGGGCAGGCACCCGGCCGGCUCAUCCCCGCUCAGGUGGAAGUGGUGGGGACGGCACACAGCACAGCGGGGACCCUCCACAUUGGCCUGGGGAGGGGAGACAAGUGUGGCGACAUUGCCCUGUCACCCCUCCCAGGGCUGGGGACACACGCACGAGGCUCACCUUGCAGCGACACUGCCCGUUGGCAUCGCAGCCCUCACCGGCGCUGCCACGCGGAUCGCACUGGCAUUGCGCACCGGGGACACCAGGCACUGAGGGGUGACACACCGUCAGCCACAACCCCCGUCAGUGCCACCACGGGGGACACCACUUUGUCCCUGCCCUGUGACACUCACCUCGGCACGGCUCUCCCCGCAGCGGGUCCCCCACGUACCCGGGCGAGCACCUAUCGUGAGACAAACCAAAAGGAGGCAGUGAGAGGAGCAUUCACCCCGAAAACACCCCCCACCCCACCCUGGUAUCCCUGUCACCUCUCGCAGAGACGCCCACUGUGCCCUGGGGCACAGGCACUGCACGUAGGCUGCCCGUCGGUGUCUUCAAAGCAGAUCUUUGUUACCCUGUGGAGGGGAUAA
rnacentral:lncRNA from 1 species